CACACGGGAGUGAGGUCUCCUAGAAGCGAUCACAUCAUCUUCUGUCGCCUGCACUUUUCCGUGUCCUUCCUCCUGCCUCCGAGGAUGGUGUUUCACCCCACCAGGGCUCUGGAAGUAUCCCGUCCACAGGAGUUCAGGUCCCUGCAAGGAGGCUCCCAAGGCAUUGGCCCCACGGAGCUGGUCUCUGCGGCCCAGGCGUCUACGUGGUGGUUUUGGACCCAGAUGGACGCCAGUAUUGUAUUGACCGUGCGCUACCAGUGACUUCACGUGGCGCAAACCUACACGCCCAACUCAAAACCCACACAGCACUCACUUCGGGGGACUCGCUGUGGUGACGCAGGUGCGUCAGGGAACAAGGCAGACGCCACACGAAGGGACCUGGUGGCGGAGGGAAGUGUGAGUCCUGGUGGCAGCUCGGAGGAGGCGGCGUGACGCCUGCCCCAGGCAGGA